rnacentral:rRNA from 1 species
GAUGAACGCUGGCGGCGUUGCCUCAAACAUGCAAGUCGAGCGGGCUAUGUAAUAUCGCAAGGUAGAACAUAGCCUAGCGGCAACGGGUGAGUAACACGUGGGUAACCUGCCUGGAAGACAGGGAUAACGAUUCGAAAGGGUCGCUAAUACCUGAUAAUAUCCUUUCAUCGCAUGGUGAUAGGAAGAAAGGGGAAACCCGCUUUCAGAUGGGCCCGCGUCCCAUCAGCUAGUUGGUAAGGUAAAGGCUUACCAAGGCGACGACGGGUAGCCGGUCUGAGAGGAUGUACGGCCACACUGGGACUGAGAUACGGCCCAGACUCCUACGGGAGGCAGCAGUUGGGAAUCUUAGGCAAUGGACGAAAGUCUGACCUAGCGACGCCGCGUGAGGGAAGAAGGCCUUCGGGUUGUAAACCUCUGUCAUGGGGGAAGAAGUAAGUGACGGUACCCCAAGAGGAAGCCCCUGCUAACUACGUG